UACGUAGGGUGCGAGCGUUGUCCGGAAUUACUGGGCGUAAAGAGCUCGUAGGUGGUUUGUCGCGUUGUUCCGUGAAAACUCACAGCUCAACUGUGGGCGUGCGGGCGAUACGGGCAGACUGGAGUACUGCAGGGGAGACUGGAAUUCCUGGUGUAGCGGUGGAAUGCGCAGAUAUCAGGAGGAACACCGGUGGCGAAGGCGGGUCUCUGGGCAGUAACUGACGCUGAGGAGCGAAAGCGUGGGGGAGCGAACAGGA
rnacentral:rRNA from 1 species